GAAAGUAAGCAAGGGCAGACGGUGGAUGCCUUGGCUCUCGGAGGCGAUGAAGGACGUGAUAAGCUGCGAAAAGCUCGGGGGAGGCGCAAAUAGCCCUUGAUCCCGGGAUAUCCGAAUGGGGCAACCCGGCAGGCUGAAGGCCUGCCAUCCCGUAAGGGAGGCGAACGUGGGGAACUGAAACAUCUAAGUACCCAUAGGAGGAGAAAAUAAACAAUGAUUCCGUAAGUAGUGGCGAGCGAACACGGAAGAGCCCAAACCCGUGCCGUCUAGGCGACACGGGGGUUGUAGGACCACGACGUGGCAAGAUAGAGUCAAGUGGAACGCCUUGGAAAAGGCGACCGUAGAGGGUGAUAGUCCCGUACACGACUGACGAUUGAAGCCUAGUGGCAUCCUGAGUAGCGCGGGGCACGAGAAAUCUUGCGUGAAACUGCGGGGCCCAUCCCGUAAGGCUAAAUACUCCCGAGAGACCGAUAGCGAACCAGUACCGUGAGGGAAAGGUGAAAAGAACCCCGAGCAGGGGAGUGAAAUAGACCCUGAACCCGUCUGCCUACAAGCGGUCGGAGCGUCGUAAUGACGUGACGGCGUGCCUUUUGCAUAAUGAACCUACGAGUUACCUUCCCCGGCAAGGUUAAGUACCUAAGGUACGGAGCCGAAGCGAAAGCGAGUCUGAAGAGGGCGGCCAGUCGGGGGGGGUAGACGCGAAACCGAGUGAUCUACCCUUGGCCAGGUUGAAGGUUGGGUAACACCAACUGGAGGACCGGAUGGGUAAGCGUUGAAAAGCUUUCCAAUGAGCUGAGGGUAGGGGUGAAAGGCUAAUCAAACUCGGAGAUAGCUCGUACUCCCCGAAAUGCAUUUAGGUGCAGCCUCUUUAUAGUAUAUCGUGAGGUAGAGCGACUGAUUGGAUGCGAGGGCUUCACCGCCUAUCAAGUCCAGAUAAACUCCGAAUGCGCGAUAUAUAUUUACAGGGAGUGAGGGCGCGGGUGCUAAGGUCCGUGUCCGAGAGGAGAAGAAUCCAGACCACCGGCUAAGGCCCCCAAAUGAUCGUUGAGUUGAACUAACGAGGUCGGAUCGCAGAGACAGCUAGGAUGUUGGCUUGGAAGCAGCCAUUCAUUUAAAGAGUGCGUAACAGCUCACUAGUCGAGCGAUCUGGCGUGGAUAAUAAUCGGGCAUAAACGAUCUGCCGAAGCCGUGGAUGUCGUAAGACAUGGUAGGGGAGCAUUCCAUGCGGCGUCGAAGAUGAGGGACGACCCUUGUUGGAGCGCAUGGAAAAGCAAAUGUAGGUAUGAGUAACGAUAAGGGGGGCGAGAAACCCCCCCGCCGAAAGACCAAGGUUUCCUGAUCAACGCUAAUCGGAUCAGGGUGAGUCGGGACCUAAGGCAAAGCCGAACGGCGCCGCCGAUGGAAGAAUGGGUUAAUAUUCCCAUACUGCCUCAUGGAGUGACGUGGAGACGGAGAAGUGACAGUCCUGCCGGCUGACGGAAUAGCCGGUUGAAGGGUGUAGAUAUUGAUUCCCGUAGGCAAAUCCGCGGGGAGAGUCGAACCUGAGAGUAUACCGAGUACUUGUACGAGGUAAUAUGGACGUAACCAUGCUCCCGAGAAAAUCCGCUAAACUUAUCCAUGCGGCACCCGUACCGUAAACGGACACACGUGGUCGGGUUGAGAAUACUGAGGCGCUCGAGUGACUCACGGUUAAGGAACUAGGCAAAUUGACCCUGUAACUUCGGGAUAAAGGGUCCUCGUCGUAAGGCGAGGCGCAGAGAAUAGGUCCAGGCAACUGUUUAACAAAAACACAUGGCUAUGCUAAAUGGAAACAUGACGUAUAUAGCCUGACACCUGCCCGGUGCUGGAAGGUUAAGAGGAGAUGUCAUCGCGAGAGAAGCGUUGAAUUGAAGCCCCAGUAAACGGCGGCCGUAACUAUAACGGUCCUAAGGUAGCGAAAUUCCUUGUCG
rnacentral:rRNA from 1 species